AUUGAACGCUGGCGGCAGGCCUAACACAUGCAAGUCGAGCGAGCGGCGGACGGGUGAGUAAUGUCUGGGAAACUGCCUGCUGGAGGGGGAUAACUACUGGAAACGGUAGCUAAUACCGCAUACCAUCAGAUGUGCCCAGAUGGGAUUAGCUGGUAGGUGGGGUAACGGCUCACCUAGGCGACGAUCCCUAGCUGGUCUGUGAGGAUGACCAUCCACACGGGAAGUGAGAAACGGGCCAGACUCCGACGGGAGGCAGCGGUGGGGAAUAUUGCACAAGGGGCGCAAGCCUGAUGCAGCCAUGCGGCGGGUGGCAAGAAGGCCUUCGGGUGGUAAAGCACUUUCAGCGGGGAGGCGUUACCCGCAGAAGGAGCAGCGGCUAACUCCGUGCCAGCAGCCGCGGUAAUAC
rnacentral:rRNA from 1 species